UUCAAUGGCGGGCGUACAUUGGGGAGCCUUCGGGUUCGCCGCUGUACUAUCUGAGCGGUUUUUGCAGCCCGAUGUAUGUCCCGUCACCAUU
rnacentral:antisense_RNA from 1 species